AUGAGAUUUCCUUCUCUCGUUUGUGCUCCCGGGGUAAGAUGUGAUCCUGUUCUAAGCCAAUCUCAUAUUUGCAGAUUGAAGAGAAGCACAAGCAGGACAGCUUUUAAACCGGCCCAAGAAAAAUGUUCAAUUCAUUUGUGGAUUUCACUUUGCAGACAACCUAAGAACAAACUGCAAGUGUGCUCCUUCUUUGAAGACGGCCACAGGUGGAGAUGGCGACCUCAGAGCAUGACAGACUCAAGAUGUGUAAGGUGGCAGUAUCGUGGAGUCUCUGAGAUCAAUCGCAAAAUGACAUUACUUUGCUUAAUGGGUUGCUCAGAGUCAGCCUAACCUACAGCAAAAGCCAGAGAUCUGUUGUGAGCUGGCCAGCCUGACCUCUGUCAGAACAAGCUACCACAGCUCAGCAGGUGUGAGGUCCCUCCUCUAGCUGUUGCUGACCAUGUGCCUGAACCCCACAGACCCUUUUGUCACCUUCUGAACUCUGUUUACUUGUGAACAGCGUGAAAACCCUGGGGCAGUAGGGUUUAGAAAAAUCACACCCCUCUCUAACUUUCUGUGCUGGUGAUCUACAUGGGGGCAGAACUAAAAAUUCUUGCUUGGUUUUGGUGAUGAAUAUAUUUUAAUUAAUUAACAUUUAUUCCUAUCCUCAAAUAAUUCUACUCCCAGCUCUCACGCAUCUAGUAACUGGGAGUGCCCAUCCCAGAAAUUAUAGGGUUGCUUACCAGCUCCAGGGAAAUCAGUGUGAAAUCAACAAUUUGAAGCCCUGUGGACUGUGUUCCUGCAAUGGAUCGCUUCCUCUGUGCUGGCCAUUCAGAUGCAAGAUCGCACAAGCUAAUUUAGAUAAGAAGGAACUUUACAGCAGGGCUGUGCGAUAAGAGAAUCCAGAAACUAGUGCUGAGGGGAAGAGAACAGAGUCAGAAGAAGGAAAGGGUAGGAGGAGUUUCCUGUUGAACACACUCACCACACAGAUGCACACACGUAUGCAAUCAAAAUAGCAGCCAGAAACCCACAAAACAUAUGGUUUACCCCAAAGCUGAUACUCACUUCAACAAUUCCUUAAGUUACAGGAGAGAAGGAUGCACACAUUGUAUGGAAGGAUGGUAAACCAUCACCUUAUCCAAAGCCACAAAGCUGUUGCUGUUAAUGGAAAAAUAUCUAUCUAUACCAGUAGUCAUGGUGUUUUUAAGGGCUUGACCCAAUUUAUGGCAAUUGUUGGAUAGGAAAACUUCUGUUCCAUCCAUCAGUCUGGGUGGAUAAGGGCCCACAUCCUCAGCCGCUGCCCAAAAACUGUGUAGCUCAUGAUCGUCUGUACAGGUAUGCUUUCCCAACACAAAGCUUAGCUGCCUGCCAGCAAAGUUCCCUCAUUCUAUUUUUGGACUAGAGAUAGGAGAAAUAUUCCCAACAGUGUUGCUGUGGCUCUUGGAUCAAAAUGAGUGUUAUCAGGGGAAAGAGUAGGAGGAAUCAGGCAGGUUUUUUUCCCACCAUCUCUUCUUUCUCCUUAUCUUUCAGUCUCACUGCCUGAAAAGUGGUAGCUAGAAUUUGUUGUUUUUUUUUUUUUGUUUGUUUGUUUGUUUGUUUGUUUUUUAAAAAAAGAUGGGAUGGGAUGGGAUGGGAUGGGAUGGGAUGGGAUGGGAUGGGGGGAGGGAAGGACACAAAACCCAAUAAAAUAUUAGCCCCAAAAGCA
ensembl:lncRNA